CUGUCCUCUGUUGCUGUGUGUGUGCCUUUGCUCACCUGGUGUGGUUCCUGCCCUGUGAAACUCCCAACUUUUGAAGCUAUCACGGCGUUUUUGGACCCUAACAAACCUUCUGAAGCACACUUAAAGUCUGCCUAAAGACUGCUAUAUCAGCCUGUCCUCUGUUGCUGUGUGUGUGCCUUUGCUCACCUGGUGUGGUUCCUGCCCUGUGAAACUCCCAACUUUUGAAGCUAUCACAGCGUUUUUGGACCCUAACAAACCUUCUGAAGCACACUUAAAGUCUGCCUAAAGACUGCUAUAUCAGCCUGUCCUCUGUUGCUGUGUGUGUGCCUUUGCUCACCUGGUGUGGUUCCUGCCCUGUGAAACUCCCAACUUUUGAAGCUAUCACAGCAUUUUUGGACCCUAACAAACCUUCUGAAGCACACUUAAAGUCUGCCUAAAGACUGCUAUAUCAGCCUGUCCUCUGUUGCUGUGUGUGUGCCUUUGCUCACCUGGUGUGGUUCCUGCCCUGUGAAACUCCCAACUUUUGAAGCUAUCACGGCGUUUUUGGACCCUAACAAACCUUCUGAAGCACACUUAAAGUCUGCCUAAAGACUGCUAUAUCAGCCUGUCCUCUGUUGCUGUGUGUGUGCCUUUGCUCACCUGGUGUGGUUCCUGCCCUGUGAAACUCCCAAC